rnacentral:rRNA from 1 species
AUUGAACGCUGGCGGCAGGCCUAACACAUGCAAGUCGAACGAGUGGCGGACGGGUGAGUAAUGUCUGUGAAACUGCCUGAUGGAUGGGGAUAACUACUGGAAACGGUAGCUAAUACCGCAUACCAUCAGAUGUGCCCAGAUGGGAUUGGCUUGUUGGUGGGGUAACGGCUCACCAAGGCGACGAUCCCUAGCUGGUCUGAGAGGAUGACCAGCCACACUGGAACGGAGAAACGGUCCAGACUCUUACGGGAGGCAGCAGUGGGGAAUAUUGCACAAUGGGCGAAAGCCUGAUGCAGACAUGCCGCGUGUAUGAAGAAGGCCGUCGGGUUGUAAAGUACUUUCAGCGGGGAGGCGUUACCCGAAGAAGAAGCACCGGCUAACUCCGUGCCAGCAGCCGCGGUAAUAC